UACGGGGGGGGCAAGCGUUGUCCGGAAUUAUUGGGCGUAAAGGGCUCGUAGGCGGUUUGUCGCGUCGGGAGUGAAAACCAUGGGCUUAACUCAUGGCUUGCUUCCGAUACGGGCAGACUAGAGGUAUGCAGGGGAGAACGGAAUUCCUGGUGUAGCGGUGAAAUGCGCAGAUAUCAGGAGGAACACCGGUGGCGAAGGCGGUUCUCUGGGCAUUACCUGACGCUGAGGAGCGAAAGUGUGGGGAGCGAACAGG
rnacentral:rRNA from 1 species